UCCCUGAUAGCUCAGUUGGUAAAGAAUCUGCCUGCAAUGCAGGAGACCCUGGUUCGAUUCUUGGGUUGGGAA
rnacentral:tRNA from 1 species